rnacentral:rRNA from 1 species
CAUGCUUAACUCAUGCAAGUCGAACGGCAGCGGGUUGCAAGCUUGCUUGCAAUGCCGGCGAGUGGCGGACGGGUGAGUAAUGCGUAGGAAUCUGCCCUUAGGAGGGGAAUAACUUGUGGAAACGCAAGCUAAUACCGCAUAAGCCUGAGAAGGGAAAGCAGGGGACCGUAAGGCCUUGCGCCUAAGGAUGAGCCUACGUUAGAUUAGCUAGUUGGUUGGGUAAAGGCCUACCAAGGCGAUGAUCCAUAGCUGGUCUGAGAGGAUGAUCAGCCACACUGGGACUGAGACACGGCCCAGACUCCUACGGGAGGCAGCAGUGGGGAAUAUUGGACAAUGGGGGCAACCCUGAUCCAGCCAUGCCGCGUGAGUGAUGAAGGCCUUAGAGUUGUAAAGCUCUUUUAGCGGGGAAGAUAAUGACGGUACCCGCAGAAAAAGCCCCGGCUAACUUCGUGCCAGCAGCCGCAGUAA